CGGGGGAGGCCGGAUCCUGGGCUGUGUCCCGGCGCCCUGUGCUCCGGGGCCUGCGCUGUUGGAUUCACGCUCCCGCCCCACAGCCCCCU
rfam:Canis lupus familiaris chromosome 32, whole genome shotgun sequence.